AACUAGUUGGGAGUUGAUGCCGCUCUCCUAACGAGGCCAUGGCAGGCCGAAACUUGUU
rnacentral:hammerhead_ribozyme from 1 species